ACAGCAUUCAGACCGUCGGUCUACCGGGUAAAAUUACACGCUGGUGGAAGAUCUUCACCUUGUUAU
rnacentral:pre_miRNA from 1 species